AGUUAGUGCCUGGACCAGGACCAUCACACUGGGGACCGGCUUCUCUGCUCUCCCGUUAUGGGGGUCGGGGGAAUGAUGGGUCAAGGGUCUUCCGAAGAAAGCGAGAAAGGAACAGGCGCCUUCAAAAGCCCACUUGGCGAUGGGUUACAGUAAGAGGUACCUCCAGGCCCGGGCAUCCGCUGGAAACAGGGGUGGGUAGGGUCGUGUCAUCUAAAGGCGCAGCUUCAACCAGAAGACUAGAAGUCAGCCAGGAGCUGGGAGUAGUGUCACGCGGGGUGGGGGUUCCUAUGAGCAUCACUUUACAAAACCAGGAGGGACGGAAGUGCGAGGGGGCAGAGUCUUGGAAACAGGUCCUGGGCCAACUGCAACAGAAUAUACCCGCCGCGUGUAGGGGAAGGCGGCGCCAGGGAGAGGGCGCAGUCUCUGAAUCUUUCCACGGGGUCCAUCCUAGGGCCCCUCCAGGUUCAACGGUCUCCUAACCUGUAGUCACCCACAAGAGCGUGCCCUUUCUGCCCGCCCUUCCUAGCGUUGCUCCCUGCUUGGCUGAGCACUGCGGAGUUUCACGCCUCUAAACCCCGCCUCUUCUUGCAACCUGUGUUGGCCUCAUCUACCCAGCAACUGUCGACGUCACACGACCUGGGCCUCCCUGAAUGGGAGAUAUUUACUAGGCAAUCCCGCCUACUGUUCUGAGGUUUCCCCUCCAGGUGCAGCUUCAGAGCCAGGCGAGCCAGGAAGGACCAGCGGGCGAGGUGGAAGUCUGCAUUAUCACGAGGAGCUUGGAAAGGAGGUAACACACUCAAGGCAAAUUUCAAGUAACUCAUCCUGGAGGCAGCUGCCUACUCUGCAGCUGUGGUUCUCCACCACAGAGAGAAGAAAAGGGAGGGAGAUGGAGUGCGCAGGUCUGAGAAGGCUUUCAUUCUGGAGCAUCUGCAGGAGCCUGCACCAUGGCCCAGUAGCACCCCUUUUUCUCCAUGAGCUGCUGGUGGGUUCCCCCCUCCCGGAUAGCGCCUCCUUCCAGAAAGAGGAUGUGGUCAGCCUGCUCCACCAGGCUGAGGUGCUGGGUGAUGAGAAGCACUGAGCGGGAGUACCGCUCAGGGCUUUCGUACAGGAGCUGCUCCACCUGAGGAAAGACAUCGGACCGUCAGAGCCGGGGACUACCCUCAGCCCAGGGAGACACCUGUGUUUCCAGGGCUGGGACUGACCUCACAGGAUCACUGCUGGCUCUGCUAACAACCCCAAGGACACCAACGUUUCCCAUUCUGAGUACUUCUCCGCAAACCCUUUGUUUCAUUAAGGACUGUUUUACAUGAAGGGUGCAAAAGUAGGAUAAAAAUGAGAACCCUAGGGUGAAACACGUGACAGAAGAAUAAAGACUAUUGAAUAGUCCUCUUCUC
rnacentral:lncRNA from 1 species